GAUGAACGCUGGCGGCGUGCUUAACACAUGCAAGUCGAACGGUGAACGAGGGAGCUUGCUCCCUCCGGAUCAGUGGCGAACGGGUGAGUAACACGUGAGCAAUCUGCCCCGGACUCUGGGAUAAGCGUUGGAAACGACGUCUAAUACCGGAUACGAGACGCGAAGGCAUCUUCAGCGUCUGGAAAGAACUUCGGUCCAGGAUGAGCUCGCGGCCUAUCAGGUAGUUGGUGAGGUAACGGCUCACCAAGCCUACGACGGGUAGCCGGCCUGGGAGGGUGACCGGCCACACUGGGACUGAGACACGGCCCAGACUCCUACGGGAGGCAGCAGUGGGGAAUAUUGCACAAUGGGCGCAAGCCUGAUGCAGCAACGCCGCGUGAGGGACGACGGCCUUCGGGUUGUAAACCUCUUUUAGCAGGGAAGAAGCGAAAGUGACGGUACCUGCAGAAAAAGGACCGGCUAACUACGUGCCAGCCGCCGACGUAAAAC
rnacentral:rRNA from 1 species